AUGAACAACAAGGAGUUUUGGGAGAAGCGUCACCGCAACCCCUAUAUGGUGGACCAAGAACCCACUUUGGUCAACCGCCCGUUCUGGAACCGUUUUCAGUUUGCCAUCUACUUUGAUGUGAUCAAGGCCAAGAAGAAUCUGUUUGUUGAUGUUCGCUCCAUUGACACUGAUGCUAUGGAGAAGGACCCAGAGUACUUUGGAGAAGCCCUUCACAUGUGCACUCAGCUGAACAUUCUCAGGAUCAUGCAGUUCAACAAGGACUUCGAUGCGGAUUUGGUGGCUCAAUUCUAUGCCACCGUCCAUCUUGGAACAGAUGGCGACAGGACUCUGACUUGGAUGACCAAUGGCAAGCGGCUUUCUGUCAAAUGGCGUGCGUUCAUGGAGUUACUUGAUGUGGUGGAUAACGGGCUUGAGACUCCUGUCGGUUUCCGUCCUCACCGCAAUGUUACAUCCACCCACAAGCAAGCCCUUUGGCCCUACUGCACUGUGAAGGUUCACCCUGUCACUGAGAAGAAGACCUACGAGCUGUAUCCGUAUCUGGACAUUCUUCAUCGCAUAUUCCGUGAGACUCUCUUCCCUCGCAUUGGGAAUCUGGAUCAGGUCCACUCCUACCUCGUGGACAUGCUCCUUUUCUGUCAGCAUGAGAAGGAAGAAAACACUGGAGAGAGCCUGGAUAUCUCUCAUGUCAUGUGGUCUGAACUUCUGUCUGCCGUGUCUGAGUGCAAGUGUCCCAUCUAUGGUCCCUUCAUCAUGAGGCUCAUUGAGAGGGCCUGGGCACAGACUUAUCCCAGAGUGCUGCUAGAAACUGGAGAUUUGGUUUCUCAUGAGAUCAAGUGUCUGAGGAAGAAGGACAACUGGACAGCGCCUCACACAGGGGGUCCUUCUACUACUGCUGCCACAAGGGGCCCGUCUGCUGCUGCUGCUGCUGCCAUGGGAAUCGAGGGUGAGGCUGCUACUGAUGCCCACAAUGAGGACUUUGGCCACUCCAGUGCAGAACCAUCAUGGGCCCAGAAGCUCAAGCGCAAGAUGAAGAAGCUCUUCUGCAUGGAGUCCCAUGGUCAGUACUUGACUCAUGUGGCGGAGAAGAAUGCCAGGACGCGCCACAAGGAGAUCAUGCAUCAGUUGGGCACCACAGUUGUCAGUGGGUUUGAGGGACAGAUCACUGAAGAAGAUGACUAG
rnacentral:rRNA from 1 species